rnacentral:rRNA from 1 species
AUUGAACGCUGGCGGCAGGCCUAACACAUGCAAGUCGAGCGGCAGCGGGUCCUUCGGGAUGCCGGCGAGCGGCGGACGGGUGAGUAAUGCCUAGGAAUCUGCCUGGUAGUGGGGGAUAACGUUCGGAAACGGACGCUAAUACCGCAUACGUCCUACGGGAGAAAGUGGGGGAUCUUCGGACCUCACGCUAUCAGAUGAGCCUAGGUCGGAUUAGCUAGUUGGUGGGGUAAAGGCUCACCAAGGCGACGAUCCGUAACUGGUCUGGGAGGAUGAUCAGUCAAACUGGAACUGAGACACGGUCCAGACUCCUACGGGAGGCAGCAGUGGGGAAUAUUGGACAAUGGGCGAAAGCCUGAUCCAGCCAUGCCGCGUGUGAAGAAGGUCUUCGGAUUGUGAAGCACUUUAAGUUGGGAGGAAGGGCAGUAAGUUAAUACCUUGCUGUUUUGACGUUACCAACAGAAUAAGCACCGGCUAACUUCGUGCCAGCAGCCGCGGUAA